GUCCUCAUCGAUUAGUGGUUAGAUCAUCACGUUGUGGAACUGGCCUCGGGCCGCUUUCAUGAGCACCGUGGGGACGGGAGCUCGAAUCUCCCUGGGGACA